GACGAACGCUGGCGGCGUGCUUAACACAUGCAAGUCGAGCGGAAAGACCCUGCUUUUGUGGGGUGCUCGAGUGGCGAACGGGUGAGUAACACGUGAGUAACCUGCCCUUGACUUUGGGAUAACUUCAGGAAACUGGGGCUAAUACCGGAUAGGAGCUCCUGCUGCAUGGUGGGGGUUGGAAAGUUUCGGCGGUUGGGGAUGGACUCGCGGCUUAUCAGCUUGUUGGUGGGGUAGUGGCUUACCAAGGCUUUGACGGGUAGCCGGCCUGAGAGGGUGACCGGCCACAUUGGGACUGAGAUACGGCCCAGACUCCUACGGGAGGCAGCAGUGGGGAAUAUUGCACAAUGGGCGGAAGCCUGAUGCAGCAACGCCGCGUGCGGGAUGACGGCCUUCGGGUUGUAAACCGCUUUCGCCUGUGACGAAGCGUGAGUGACGGUAAUGGGUAAAGAAGCACCGGCUAACUACGUG
rnacentral:rRNA from 1 species